UUCCAGUAUCCCUUCAAGAGCCAAGGUCUCCAGGCCAUAUAAUUCCAUUCUGGAUACCUUGCCUCUUGAAGGGAUACUGAAAUCUAGCCAGUUAAAAAAGUGGAUGAGACGAUAUAUUACUCUAUUAUUCCAAUUACCUGCUUUUGGGAAAGAGAAUUAGGGGUUAAACCUGACUGGGAUGUGGUAUAGGUCAGGUGUUUUACUACCAGCAAGAACCUUGCACACCAACUGAUCCACUAUAAACAGGGCAUACAUUACUCCAGGACUGUGCCCUACGAUGGAUUGGCACCCUGUCCAGGGUGUACCCCGCCUCGUGCCCAAUGCUCCCUGGGAUAGGUUUCCCCGUAACCCUGAAAAGGAUUAAGCGGUAUAGAAGAUGGAUGGACUGAUGGACAUUACUCCAGGUUCAUUGCAUAAAAUGAAUAAAUGAUCCGUAUUGUCAUCUUUGUAAUAAAUCUACCGUAGGCUCUUACAUACACGUUUUGGGAACGCCCUAUAGUGUUUUCAUUCUGGACAUUUGUAUGCACCGUCCUUGCGGACAUUUUACACCUGGAGAUACCCAAGAAUCCCCUGCUCCUCCUCUUAAAGCUUUGGGUGGAACCGUCCGCUCCUACGCUCCUCAACAAUUAUAAAUAAUUUCUUCGUUUUUUAAAAUUUAUUCAAACGGACUUUGGAAGACGUAGAUGUGCAAGAGGAAUAUUUUAAGGAUAGUUUUGUGCCCGAAUAAGUCUUAAUUCCCCUGUGUGAAUAUUCUACUCACCGAUGAAGACACAUUUAUCCGAAUUCCAUUAAAAGCGAGUUAUUUAUUAAGAAAAAUCAUGUUAACACAUAAGACAAACAACAACAACAAAAACAAAAACAAAAACACGUCGUCAUUCGUUAACUGCUUCGACACUGAGGAAACCACAUGUGCUUUGUAAUCCUGGAAACAAAACCAGUCCCUGCAUCCUCCCGGAAAGGAACAGCAUACAUAUUGAUUCCUGCUGCUGAUGUUUGGUGAAGAAAAGAUGAAAAUUUGGUUAGCUCUGAAGGUUCUUCUGUUCCUAUCAUGUUCUAGGAUCUCGGUAAUAACUUACACAAAUUCUGUACAUAAUUACAGCAGGCUUAAUACCUGACACAGCUUUCUCACAUACACACACACACAAAAUAAUAAUAAUAAUAAUAAUAAUAAUAAUAAUAAUAAUAAUAAUAAUAAUAAUAAUUCUACAGAAUGCAGCCAUGGAAAUAAGCGUCCUCUUUACAAUGCUGGCCUUCUCAUUGUACAGCGAAUAAUGACUCUGAAAAAUACAAGCGACUAUUCUUACACUUUAAAAACAAGCACUGGAAUGAAGCCCUUUGCACCUGCGAUCGUCAUGUUUCCUGAAAUUACUCGGCCGCCUUUCUGCGUUCCUUCUCAUGUCCUGGGAGAAGGUGGGUGUGGACCGAACGCUAGCUUCCGGAUCAGUGAAACACAGUACGUUAAGUCACUUUGGAAAAUGUCACCCCGAAUACAUUCAUUUUCAAGUCUGAUACAUGCUAGUUUAGGCAUGAGUGGUCUCGAAGCUCAAGCAGAAAACUUAAGACGGGUAUAAAUCCGCUAUUUAAAUACAAAACGUGAGUGACGCACACAAAGACGGUGAUAAGGAUAUCUUAAAUACGAUUCACACGGCACCCUGAUAGGAAGGAUAAACUGACAGGUAGCAGGGAAUAUUUAAGGCUGAUGUCGAGAUGCUGAUCGAGGAACGCAUGACCUUCGUCCUGAUGCGGUUUGAUUUCCGAUGCGCGAUUUACGGCGGUCUGUAAAAAACCCGGAAGUGCAACAGCAAAUCAGAAAACACUGCAAUAAAGUUUCAAAUGCAAUGGCGAAUUAAAGCCUUAAAGGAAGCCGGGUUAUUCAAAAGAAAGGAUUUCUCUUCGCUGUAAUGACUUUAUAUCCGCACUAGCGCUGUAAUGAUAUGCUGUAUCACAUUGUUCGAUAAGAGGCUCUCAAUGCGAUGCAUCUUCGUAUUGUUUAUUCCUCAUAAAAUACCGCUUAUGUUACGUGAGGUGUAAUAAACAUUUCAAUUUAAUAAUUGUUUUUUUUUUUUAAAUAGCGUAUUAGAUCGGGAAAGGCAGCAAUGGCUUCGCUUAGCGUCAGACAGGAACUGGAAGAUUCCCUGAAAUCUUUGAGGUCUGGUGUAGAAAGCGCUUCCUGAGAAGUUACGCCGGAGCGAGAUGUCACAGAACGCCGAAUACCUGUACAAUACAUCGGUGCUAAUAGCACAAACAUGUGCGACAUCAACUAGAUGAAGCCACAAAGCGAAGCACGCACUCAGCAAACUCUCUUCAUUCAGGCCUGUCGUUGCCGGUUCAAUCCAGGAUACAGAAAUCGCCACGGCGAUUGGGAAGUUCAUAUAUCCGGGACUGGAGAACCCAGGAUUUAAGAACACACCUAGAGCUACAGAGAGCUACGUGAGUGUGACGGUACAACUAGCUAACAGCAGAAUAAGAAAAAGCUCUGCGCUUCAGACAUGCCACCUGGAGUGACCCCAGUGGAAAUCUAACGCAGAGAUAGAAGAGUCUGAAUCCAUCACACGACAUCACACCGCCACAUUAUUACCUUUUAAUUAUUGUUCUUUUUACAGAAGCCCUAAGAGGCUAUGCAUUCUUAUUUUUUUCUUUCUUGUUUACUCGUGAUUUCGACUUAACAAAAGUUGUUUACUCGUGAUUUCGACAUGACAAAAAUUGUUUACUCGUGAUUUCAAUAUAACAAAAGCUGUUUACUCGUGAUUUCGACUUAACAAAAGUUGUUUACUCGUGAUUUCGACGUUAUUUACUCGUGAUUAUGACUUAACAAAAAUUGUUUACUCGUGAUUUCGACAUAGCAAAAGUUGUUUUCUCACAACAUCAUUUUAUCAGGAGAAAAUCUCACGCCUUGUGAAUGGGACUGGUAUUGUAUGCAUGUUGUUGUCUUUGCCAUCAUCAUCAUCAUCAUCAUCAUCAUAUAUGUAAUAACUACCCGCUGUAGAGAUGGACCUUAUCUCCGCAUGAAGAGUGAUGGGUGUCCCCUGCUCCGGGAUCGCGCUACGCUUCUGCUGCCCCCAGAACAACUAAAAACAUGUUGUUAUUUCGAGAACAUACAAAAAUGAAGUCAUGACGAGAGCACGAGAAAACGAGAAAGAAUCAAAUAAGGGCUUCCGUAACUGUUCAUCUUAAACAUUUGGAUCGAUUCAAAAACGGAAAUCAAAAGCACGCUUUCAUUCAAUACGUAUAUUUCUCUGUAUUGAUAUCGCAUCGAGACACCACCGUAUCCUGUAUCGAAUGUGAAUUUCACGUCUUGCUACACCCCUGAUGAUCGUUACUAUACGUGAUUGCUGUCGUGUCUUCUGAUUUGCUGUUGAAGUAAGUAUGGUGGCCCAUAAAGGCGUCAACAUAAAGCUGAAUGAUGGUGAUACUUCAAUUCAGUUCGUUACAGUUUUUCCCAAUUGCACACACAGAACUGUGUUAUUAACGUUAACGUAGAGUCUUUACGUAGGAGUCUUAUUCCAAAACUCCUGAAAACAGUAACUGCAAAGUACUUCACAUUAGACACAAUGCUAUAACGUUCACUGACAAAAAGAAAAGAAAAGAAAAAAAAAUCGAAGGUCCGAGUUCCUCAUUUAGGACAGAUUUGAGGACAGCUUCACAUAUAGUAUUAGUACACCGGACCAACGUCCCCAUGAGAGUUCUGACAAACAUUGCGUGUUCAUAAACCAUCAUAGCGCAUCAUACUGAGCAGAACGUUUACAAAUGUAGCCGGAUAGCUAGUUGUGUACCUAAUGGUGGUUGUUUUGUUUAAAAUCGUAUGGUUUGUAGAUCGCCAGAAGUGAUACUGUGGUUAAAAUGAACUAGCUAAGGUAACACACACUCACCUUACCUGUCUGACUAGCAUGCUAGCUAGUAAGACUAACAUGCUAGUUAUCAAACAGUAGUGUUGUGUGAGCACUAAAUAAAUAAAUAAAUUAAAAAAAUUGCCUAUAUAAAUGAUCCUUUAAAGGAUGUGGUUAAUAACACAGCUUGGGGCUUGUUUUGCUCAAAUUUAGCUUGUUUUGCUAGGUGUCUAGCCUAAUUAGCGUUGAGUUAUUUUAAAGCUGUGUGUACACUGUGUGCAAGCAAAAGAGAAAAACCGCACUCCUGAGCAUCAAACCCAGACAAUAGCAGUGCCGCUAUAGUACACACACCACGAUAUCAGAUCAGGCUCUCGUCGUAUCGCACUUUCGGUUUUCUGUAAAAUCUCUCACGUCGUAGUAAAGACUCGAAGCGUGUCAGUGUGUCGGAAUACGACGAAACCACCUCGCUUUAGAGCUGGAGUGCAUUAAGUUCUCACGCUUCUUCUUGGUAGCUGCAGUCCUGACGAACGGACGUCUCCUCCCGCCCCCCCAUGAUUCUUUGCACAUUGGCACGUGCCGAGAAGUGAGAGUUUGAGAAAAGUUCUGCUCUGGGAUCGAAUAUGAAGAUCGUUUCCUCCGGACUUCAAAACAUGUUAAAAAAAAACGUUUGAUGUCUGAAGUCUGCAUCUAUAGUUUUUCGCUAGAGCUACGAGGUUAAUGUAGCUAAUAGAAAGUCUCUCUCACUCAAAAUCAUUCGCAUAAAUACCUGACUCAAACCGCAACCAGUUCUGGACGCCAUGUGACGGCUGGCUGGGAAAACGACGUUAUCGGGAAUUAAACUGCAGCCUGAAUCAGAAGCGUGGCUUCUCAUUGUAUGAGCAUAGGUGUAAAACUAAUACGCACAGGAACACAAAUACUCAUUAGGUGCUUUUACACGCGCCCAUUUUCGUCGAUCCGAAUUCAGACUCCGAAAGUACUGUACCGUAAUCCCUAAUUUCUCCAUCUGGGGAUUGAUAAACUAUUAUCUUAUCUUAUCUUAUCUAAACAUUGCGAUCCAAUUCAAAUAUCCGCUUACAGGUGCGUUACAUUUCAGCCAUGAGAACUCUCGGAGUGAAACCGUGAGCUUUUAUAGAUGGGGACGGAGUGUAAAUAGGUUUGGUCUGGCGCACUCGAGCUGUGACGCGGCUGCUGCGCGAGUACGAAUACUUGCACCGAUAGUCAUGGAGAGACAUGCGGCCCCGAACGGAGCUAUUUAUCAACAGAAAGAAAGACAAAUGCGGCACGUAGCGUUAUUUACAGAGAUGAAGGGCUUAAGACCAGCCAGUCCUGACUGUAAUCUAUAAGCAUACAUAAAAUUUCAUUCUCUCUUGGAACGCUGUAACAUUAUAGGUGGCGGCCAUCUUGGACCAAUGCCUGUACACCCAAAAUAUGAAGGUACUGUAGAGGUACUGUAGUAGUACAAUACAAUUCACUACAGUUUUUUUUAUUUUCUUAAAAUGAGAUUACACAGCCAAUCGAUAUGAUAUGACAAUUUGGGCGAGACAGAUAGUUUUGAGUGAGGUAGACUUCCAUUAUUUGUUAACUACAUUGGCUUCAUAGAUCCAAAAAAAAAAAAAACCCAAAAAAUCAUUUAACCGAAUGGAAAAUUGUAUAUAUUUUAAUGUUCCUUUAACCUGAUAUUUGAAAUGACGACAAAACCAAAAUGGUACGCAGUCAGUUAGUUAUGAAAUGGGGAGACACUGUUUUGUAUCAGAGGCAUUGUAACAGUCUUCCUUAGAGGAAAACACACCCACACACACACACACACACACACUGCAUAGUUCCAUCAUGUUCAUUCAUCAUGUGCAGAAGGAGAAACCGUCUCAGUUCCUGUGUCACUUUCUUUCUGUGUUUUUUUCCCCCUCCUGGUUUCACAUGUUGUAGGCCACGUAAAUGGGGUCGAGCUGAUCGGCGAGGAAGCCAUCGCGCAGGUGCAUGCGCUGCUUCUCCCCACGAGAGUUGAUGGGAAUGACGCCCGGGUCGACCACCACCACCACGCCCACGAUCAGGUAGUGCUCCUCCAAAACCACGUUGGUGACGAGGGGAACGAGAUCCAGAGCCUCCUGCUCCAAGCCUUCCAGCUCCACCACCACCACCAGCAGGUUAGUCCACGUGAACACGGCACUGCAGAGGACAAACACCGCGUGUAAAGAAGUGUGCAUACUGUACAGCACAGGAAGGAAAAACAGUAAUGAAAGUAAUAUAUAUCUGCACACUUUCGGCACGGACUCGGGCUGCUCGUGAGCCAGCACUCGAGUUCUUUGAAGUAUUUGUGAUGUUUUAUGGUUGCAAAAAAUGCUGCUCCAGAUAUCGCAGAUAUUUUCUCGAUCUUGUUACAUUUGUGCAAGCAAACCAAGUACACAUCGGUAUUAUUUGAUUAUUUGAAUAAAAUCCUGGCUUGUUU
ensembl:lncRNA